rnacentral:rRNA from 1 species
AUUGAACGCUGGCGGCAGGCCUAACACAUGCAAGUCGAGCGGAUGAAGGGAGCUUGCUCCUGGCUUCAGCGGCGGACGGGUGAGUAAUGCCUAGGAAUCUGCCUGGUAGUGGGGGAUAACGUCCGGAAACGGGCGCUAAUACCGCAUACGUCCUGAGGGAGAAAGUGGGGGAUCUUCGGACCUCACGCUAUCAGAUGAGCCUAGGUCGGAUUAGCUAGUUGGUUGGGUAAAGGCCUACCAAGGCGACGAUCCGUAACUGGUCUGAGAGGAUGAUCAGUCACACUGGAACGGAGACACGGUCCAGACGCCUACGGGAGGCAGCAGUGGGGAAUAUUGGACAAUGGGCGAAAGCCUGAUCCAGCCAGGCCGCGUGUGUGAAGAAGGUCUUCGGAUUGUAAAGCACUUUAAGUUGGGAGGAAGGGCAGUAAGUUAAGACCUUGCUGUUUUGACGGUACCAACAGAAUAAGCACCGGCUAACUUCGUG